rnacentral:lncRNA from 1 species
GCGGCAUAUUGCCGCCGUUCGCCGAGGAAAUAUAACGGUGGGACCUACCGCCGUUAAUUACCGGCGGCGUGUUUUGCCGCCGGUAAUUGUGUUACCGACGAGAAAAUUACCGGCGAUGGCUGUUCCAGCGAUGGAGGGCUCCUCGUCGUAGAUUCGAGAUUCCUCCAUUCGGUAUCUGUCGUGGUAGAUCUCUCUUUUGAGAACCAGCUCCUCCACCUCAAAUCUCGUUUCUAAGGUCAUGUUGGGUACUUGGGCGUUCAGACAGUCUGUCUUUCCGUCGAUGCGCAAAGUCACGAUGAAGUUGUUGUUGCCUGCGUUCCGAAGCGCAAUGGUGUUGUCGUCAAUUUUGACAGGCCAAAACAAGGUGUCAGCGUGGGUGCCGUUGGCGUCGUUGUUGUCGGCCCAUAUCCAAUUGGGACUGCGUCUCCAGAACCUAUCGAAAUGAAGGGAGUUUAUGCGGACAUGUCCGUCCAGCAUGGUGUGCACCUCGAACCCCGUUUCCUGGGCUCCGCAUACAGCUGCUGGUACGGAAAAUUCUGGACCGUCAAGCCUCUCACAUAGCUGCAAGCAAGCAAUUUUAAUUAAGGUAAGGCCGAUGAUUAGAAGAAUGGAGGGAAGAAAUAGUAGGUACCUGCCAUCGUGUCCCUUGAAAGCGACAUGCCUGGAAGUGAGGAGUGCCUCCAGUGCCACCUUGGAGGAGAAAAUGAAUUGGGGGAAUGCCGUGACCCACGACAUCAAUGCGGCGGUUGGUUGAGGGCGAGGUUGGUGGAGCCGGGCGUGAUUAUGGGCUGGAAGAGCGUGUUGGACAAAUCUUCCUCAGGCUGGUCGGCGACUGCGAUGAUUUGCAUGGCGUUGUUGGUGUGGACGAAGCGGAAGUGAACGUAGCGGGAGUCGCUUUUGGCCUGCUCUACUUGGAUCUGCGCCAGUGGGCUGAAAAUGUUGACUUCGGUGGCGCCGACCCAGCCUGUGAAGUUCCCGUCCGGGGGGGCUGACUCCUUGCCCUCAGCACGAUGAAAUUUGGAAGCUCCGCCGCCAUUGCUGCUACUACUGCUGUUUUUUUC